rnacentral:piRNA from 1 species
UGAGCUCUGGUUACCUGUGUCCUUC